GUAUUCAGAGCUGCAGAGAGCUUUUCAGCAGAUAUUCAGACCCCUGGAGAAAUUCAAAAAGAUCGAAACAGCACAAGAGCUAGGGGUGUUUUCUUCUGGGCUGCCAAAAGCAUAAGGGGCACUGAUAAGUAACGGCAGCCUCUUAACCAGUGGUUUGCUCAAGAAGAAUUGGAUAGUCACUUGCCGUGCUCAGGGUACAGCCUGUACUUCUUUGGCUCAUAAAGAAACGUAGCAAAGGAGUAACUCCUGACUUGGUUAGCUUUACCACAAGAAGGUUGACGGUCUAUUUAUCUUCUGGUACAAUGAUGGGAAAUACUGCCACAAAAAAUUCAUCCAAGGAAGUCAUGCUGCAGUUAGCAUCUCUGCCUGUGCUGUGCAUACUUGACUGGUGCCUGCAAACUUUCAUGCAGUGAUAUGAACCACUGCAUGUCUUUAAUCUUUUUUCAUCUGACAAAUAGUCUGCUUUUUUUCAUAGUCUGAGCAAGUCUGUGGUCUCUUCCGAAGUGGCUUUGAUUUUGUGCUAUUAUGCCUUAGGUAUCUCUUCUGUGGUCUGGAUUUUCAAUCUUAUUUGUACUUUAAGAUACUGUCCAUUUCCAUAAGCAUUAUCCUUGAGGGUAUGAUUCCUGCUGCUUUACACAUUCUGCUUAAAAUAUUGGGUUAAUUUGUGUCUCCCAGUUGUAUCUAUUCCUACAUCUAUCCUGGUAAACUACAUAGGGUUUGGGCAUGGACCUAAAAGAUGCCAACUGCUCAUUCCUACUGUUAAAUAAGCGGGGACUCUGUCAGAGUUCUGCCGCAUCUGUAGAAGAGUGAGUGGCACAAGUCAAGGUCUGUUCUCAGCAGGCAGUCUGCAUGUAGCCAGUCUGGUUU